GAUGAACGCUGGCGGCGUGCCUAAUACAUGCAAGUCGAGCGAACGGACGAGAAGCUUUCUUCCCUGCUGUUAGCGGCGGACGGGUGAGUAACACGUGGAUAACCUACUUAUAUUACUUGGAUAACUUCGUGAAACCGGAGCCAAUACCGGAUAAUAUUUUCAACCGCAUGGUUCAAAAGUGAAAGACGGUCUUGCUGUCACUUUUAGAUGGAUCCGCACUGCAUUAGCUAGUUGGUAAGGUCACGGCUUACCAAUGCAACGAUGCAUAGCCGACCUGAUAGGGUGAUCGGCCACACCGGAACUGAAGAAAGGGUCAAACUUCUACGGGAAGGCGGAGUAGGGAAUCUUACGAAAAUGGCGAAAGCCUGACGGAGCCACGCCGCGGUAGUGAUAAAGGUCUUCGGAGCGUAAAACUCUGUUAGUAGGGAAGAACAUAUGUGUAAGUAACUGUGCACAUCUUGACGGUACCUAAUCAGAAAACCACGGCUAAAUACGUU
rnacentral:rRNA from 1 species